GACAGCAGCCGCCACGGUAAUACGAAGGUCCCGAGCGUUGUUCGGAAUCACUGGGCGUAAAGGGAGCGUAGGCGGCGUGGUAAGUCAGAUGUGAAAUCCCGGGGCUCAACCCCGGAACUGCAUCCGAUACUGCCAUGCUAGAGGAUUGGAGAGGUAGCUGGAAUUCUUGGUGUAGCAGUGAAAUGCGUGGAGAUCAAGAGGAACACUCGUGGCGAAAGCGAGCUACUGGACAAUAACUGACGCUGAGGCUCGAAGGCCAGGGUAGCGAAAGGGAUUAGAUACCCCCGUAGUCCCUGUCUCUUAUAC
rnacentral:rRNA from 1 species